AGCGAACGCUAGCGGCGGGCUUAACACAUGCAAGUCGAGCGCUUCACUUCGGUGAAGAGCGGCGGACGGGUGAGUAACACGUAGGUUAUCUGCCUUUUGGUGGGGGACAACCCAGGGAAACUUGGGCUAAUACCGCAUAUGGUCCACGGAUCAAAGCCUUCGGGCGCCAAAAGAUGAGCCUGCGGCCCAUUAUUUAAUCCUUGUUGGUGGGGUAAUGGCCUACCAAGGGUACGAUGGGUAGCUGGUCUGAGAGGAUGAUCAGCCACACUGGGACUGAGACACGGCCCAG
rnacentral:rRNA from 1 species